GACGAACGCUGGCGGCGUGCUUAACACAUGCAAGUCGAACGGAAAGGCCCUGCUUUUGUGGGGUGCUCGAGUGGCGAACGGGUGAGUAACACGUGAGUAACCUGCCCUUGACUUUGGGAUAACUUCAGGAAACUGGGGCUAAUACCGGAUAGGAGCUCCUGCUGCAUGGUGGGGGUUGGAAAGUUUCGGCGGUUGGGGAUGGACUCGCGGCUUAUCAGCUUGUUGGUGGGGUAGUGGCUUACCAAGGCUUUGACGGGUAGCCGGCCUGAGAGGGUGACCGGCCACAUUGGGACUGAGAUACGGCCCAGACUCCAACGGGAGGCAGCAGUGGGGAAUAUUGCACAAUGGGCGGAAGCCUGAUGCAGCAACGCCGCGUGCGGGAUGACGGCCUUCGGGUUGUAAACCGCUUCCGCCUGUGACGAAGCGUGAGUGACGGUAAUGGGUAAAGAAGCACCGGCUAACUACGUG
rnacentral:rRNA from 1 species